rnacentral:rRNA from 1 species
CCUACGGGUGGCAGCAGUGGGGAAUAUUGCACAAUGGGGGAAACCCUGAUGCAGCGACGCCGCGUGAGUGAAGAAGUAUUUCGGUAUGUAAAGCUCUAUCAGCAGGGAAGCAAAAAGACGGUACCUUACUACGAAGCCCCUGCUCACUACGGGCCAGCAGCCGCGGUGAUACGGAGGGGGCAAGCUUUAUCCGGAUUUACUGGGUGUAAAGGGAUCGUUGUCGGGGCGGCAAGUCUGAAGUGAAAGGCAGGGGCUUAAACCCUGAACUGCUUUGGAAACUGCAAUGCUAGAGUGCGCGAGAAGUAAGUGGAAUUCGUGGUGUAGCGGUGAAAUGCAUAGAUAUCAGGCAGAACACCAGGGGCGAAGGCGGCAUACUGGAGAGUAACUGACGUUGAGGCACGAAAGCGUGGGGAGCGAACAGGAUUAGAUACCCUAGUAGUC